GACGAACGCUGGCGGCGUGCUUAACACAUGCAAGUCGAACGGAAAGGCCCUGCUUUUGUGGGGUGCUCGAGUGGCGAACGGGUGAGUAACACGUGAGUAACCUGCCCUUGACUUUGGGAUAACUUCAGGAAACUGGGGCUAAUACCGGAUAGGAGCUCCUGCUGCAUGGUGGGGGUUGGAAAGUUUCGGCGGUUGGGGGUGGACUCGCGGCUUAUCAGCUUGUUGGUGGGGUAGUGGCUUACCAAGGCUUUGACGGGUAGCCGGCCUGAGAGGGUGACCGGCCACAUUGGGACUGAGGUACGGCCCAGACUCCUACGGGAGGCAGCAGUGGGGAAUAUUGCACAGUGGGCGGAAGCCUGAUGCAGCAACGCCGCGUGCGGGAUGACGGCCUUCGGGUUGUAAACCGCUUUCGCCUGUGGCGAAGCGUGAGUGACGGUAAUGGGUAAAGAAGCACCGGCUAACUACGUG
rnacentral:rRNA from 1 species